rnacentral:rRNA from 1 species
UCAGGUAGUUGGUGAGGUAACGGCCCACCAAGCCUACGACGGGUACCCGCCUGAGAGGGGACCGGCCACACUGGGACUGAGACCCGGCCCAGAUUCCUACGGGAGGCAGCAGUGGGGAAUAUUGCACAAUGGGCGCAAGCCUGAUGCAGCAACGCCGCGUGAGGGAUGACGGCCUUCGGGUUGUAAACCUCUUUUAGUAGGGAAGAAGCGAAAGUGACGGUACCUGCAGAAAAAGCACCGGCUAACUACGUGCCAGCAGCCGCGGUAAUACGUAGGGUGCGAGCGUUGUCCGGAAUUAUUGGGCGUAAAGAGCUCGUAGGCGGUCUGUCGCGUCUGCUGUGAAAACCCGAGGCUCAACCUCGGGCCUGCAGUGGGUACGGGCAGACUAGAGUGCGGUAGGGGAGAAUGGAAUUCCUGGUGUAGCGGUGGAAUGCGCAGAUAUCAGGAGGAACACCGAUGGCGAAGGCAGUUCUCUGGGCCGUAACUGACGCUGAGGAGCGAAAGCGUGGGGAGCGAACAGGAUUAGAUACCCUGGUAGUCCACGCCGUAAACGUUGGGCGCUAGAUGUGGGGACCAUUCCACGGUUUCCGUGUCGCAGCUAACGCAUUAAGCGCCCCGCCUGGGGAGUACGGCCGCAAGGCUAAAACUCAAAGGAAUUGACGGGGGCCCGCACAAGCGGCGGAGCAUGCGGAUUAAUUCGAUGCAACGCGAAGAACCUUACCAAGGCUUGACAUAUACGAGAACGGGCUAGAAAUAGUCAACUCUUUGGACACUCGUAAACAGGUGGUGCAUGGUUGUCGUCAGCUCGUGUCGUGAGAUGUUGGGUUAAGUCCCGCAACG